CUUGACUAGUGUCCCAUUUAUGGCAAGUUGGCUCUCAGCCUUCCAGGGAAUAGGAGCUGUUGGACCAACUCAUUCUUGCUAAUGAUGCCAAUGGGUCAUUGUGCCAUUUCCUACUACCACCAGAGGGGCCUUUUUGAAAUUGCCUUCUGAAAACAAAACAUCUUACCCAAAAGAAAGGAUUGCCCAACCUGGGCCAAGAAAAAAAAAUGCCGAGAACCCUCCAAUGUACACUUUCUUAGAAUCCGUGGAUCUUGAGUUUAGAAGUUGAAGAAGGAACUUCCCAUCUAAAAUGGGGAUUGUCUCUGUAACAUCCCCACCAUGUGGUCAUCUUGUCUAUUGCCAGAGCAUCUCUGAGGCACCUCACUGCCUCUGAAGGCUGGUUUUCCCAUUCGAAGUUGCUCGGGAUAUUAGAACAUUCUCCUCUAGGCAAGAUUCAUCUUGACAUUUGUCUUCCCUCUCCACGUGGAGUCAGAGAACGUCUUGUUCUAUUUCUUUCAGAUAUUUGAAAGAUAUUUCAGAGCUCAAACGUUUUUAAAAUCACACUGCUACAAUAACUGAAGAACAUUUUGCUAUGGUGAGGGUUACAUAAUGAUGGCAUGAUUUGCCAAGCAGAGAAUGACUGUGUGUUGAUGUCAUAGUGACACAAAGUUCAGGAUAUAGACAAGGUGGUACAAGCCGUAACAGAUCAUCUCAGGGAAAUCACAGAGACCUUGUUGGUGACGUGAGUUUUUUUGUUUGUCUUUUUUUUUUUUUUUUGCUUUUUGAGCAUCAGGGUGAUAACUAACGUUUUAAGUGUUUGUGACUGUGCAAAUAUCACGUGUUAUAUAUUUGUCUAUUUCAUACAGUGGGCAGGAUGGAGAGACCAAGAGAAGAUGACCAGAAGUCGGGGCUGUACCAUGUCUUUUUUCUGUUUUUGAAAUAGUAUGUGGUCAAGAUGUCUAAACUCCUCAAUUAUCAUAAAUUCCAAGGAGAAUAAAGGAAGCCAGCAGCCCGCAGAACCAGCAGUUCUGCAACCUCACCAGAACCCAAUCAUGCUGACACCCUGAUCUCAGACUUCCUGCCUCUAGAACUGUGAAAAAAAAAAGUAUGUUGUUGGUCUCCAUUCUCCUACUGGCAGUUUCUGGGAUCACCUCCACAACAAACUACUUGUACUUGAAUCAUCAUCUCAAGGUCUGUUUCUGGGAAAACGGAAACUAAGACAUGGCGGCUAUCUCUCUUUGCAGAGACUAUUCUGAGACACGCCACUCCCUCCUAAGCGGAGGUCUUAGAUACAAGAAGGAAGUAUUAACAGGUUUGGGCAUCAUUUUCUGAGAGGGUUCAAAAGAAGCAGGUUGGGAGCAGAUGUCUUUGAAGGAUCCAGUCAUUAUGGAAUAAAUAUCUUUUUUAUUCAGGUUGCUGCA
rnacentral:lncRNA from 13 species